rnacentral:rRNA from 1 species
ACAGGUGGUGCAUGGUUGUCGUCAGCUCGUGUCGUGAGAUGUUGGGUUAAGUCCCGCAACGAGCGCAACCCUCCGCCUCUAGUUGCCAGCAUUCGGUUGGGCACUCUAGGGGGACUGCCGGCGACAAGUCGGAGGAAGGUGGGGAUGACGUCAAGUCCUCAUGGCCCUUAUAUCCAGGGCUACACACGUGCUACAAUGGGCGGUACAAAGGGUCGCGAACCUGUAAAGGGGAGCUAACCCCAGAAAACCGUUCUCAGUUCGGAUUGGAGUCUGCAACCCGACUCCAUGAAGUUGGAAUCGCUAGUAAUCGCGGAUCAGAACGCCGCGGUGAGUACGUUCCCGGGCCUU